UACGUAGGGGGCUAGCGUUGUCCGGAUUUAUUGGGCGUAAAGAGCGUGUAGGCGGCCAGGUAGGUCUGGUGUGAAAACCCGAGGCUUAACCUUGAGAUGUCAUCGGAAACCAUUUGGCUAGAGUCCGGAAGAGGAAAGUGGAAUUCCUGGUGUAGCGGUGAAAUGCGCAGAUAUCAGGAAGAACACCAAUGGCGAAAGCAGCUUUCUGGGACGGUACUGACGCUGAGACGCGAAAGCGUGGGGAGCGAACAGG
rnacentral:rRNA from 1 species